ACUUGUAUAUGUCGGAACAACUCUUAAAGAUCUUUCGGAUGUAACACAUGGUUGGAGCGAAUUCUCCAAGACUCGUUGGGCAUUUAUCAUUAUCAGUCUCGUAGUAUCGGUGGUUCUUAUGAUAUGUGUUACUAAAGUUGCAAAGUCUGCUUUGGAUAAAGCCUUGGCCGAAAACGAAGAUAUCGACAUCGACGGGGUUACAUCAUCCUCGCCAGAAUUACCCAUUGUUGCUGAACAAUCAUCAGAGCUUAACCAACCUCUCAUAAUUAAGAUAGAUUCUAAUGAAGACAAUCAUGAAAAGUAAAUUCAUUUUUUGUGUAAAUUCUUUCUUCCUCUCCUUAUAGUUGAUUUUUUUUUCCAUUGAUGUUCAAGAGAUAGCUACCAGGUCUUCAUAUUUGUUUGUGAUUUGUACAGUUCCAACAUUAGAAAUAUAGUCUGUGACAGGAGUUUUUAAUCCUACCAUCAAGAUGACAUUAUUGACUAUGACAAAAAAGUUCAUGCUGUUA